GUCUAUGGCCAUGCCACCCGGAACAAACUCGAUCCCGUCUGAUCUCGGAAGCUAAGCAGGGUAGGGCCUGGUGUACUUAGAUGGGAGACCACCUAGGAAGACCAGGUGCUGUAGGUG
rnacentral:rRNA from 1 species